AAUGAACGUUGGCGGCGUGGAUUAGGCAUGCAAGUCGCGCGAUUUCCUUCGGGGAAGAGCGGCGGAAGGGAGAGUAACGCGUAGAUACCUACCCUCGGGACUGGAAUAGCGACGGGAAACUGUCGGUAAUGCCAGAUAACGUCCCUGGACCAAAGGUGUGAAUCCGCCUGAGGAGGGGUCUGCGUCCUAUUAGCUAGUUGGCGGGGUAACGGCCCACCAAGGCGAAGAUGGGUACCGGGCGUGAGAGCGUGACCCGGCUCACUGGGACUGAGACACUGCCCAGACACCUACGGGUGGCUGCAGUCGAGAAUCUUCGGCAAUGAGCGCAAGCUUGACCGAGCGACGCCGCGUGCGGGAUGAAGGCUUUCGGGUUGUAAACCGCUGUCAGUGGGGAGGAAAUUCUUGGGGUACUCCCCCUUGAUUGACCGAUCCGCAGAGGAAGGACGGGCUAAGUUCGUGCCAGCCGCCGCGGUAACAC
rnacentral:rRNA from 1 species